rnacentral:lncRNA from 1 species
GUUUACACAGCUACGUUGCACAGACAAUAGAAUUAACAUCCUUCUGUCCUAAACCACAGGCCUAUGGAGCUUAAAUGGGAAUUUCCCUUAGCUGUUGCUUAUGUCGUCUUUGCUUCAUGUCAGCCGCUACUAAUAGAAGUUAAUCGGUCACAAACAUAUGAGUAAGACUGAUUUCUUUCAGCAGAGGGCAGUGGUGCACAUAGGCAUUGUCUUAUAACCUUUAUACCCUCCUGUCUUCCCAGGCUCCAGUGUGGGAUGCUGAGGGGUUCAGAAUCAUGUGUAAGGGACUGGCAGAUCGUAUCAGCCCAGCUGUGAGGAUGGCUUCUGAAUAUAACUCUAAAAUAUUUGCACUGGAGGAAAAAGGCCUGGUAUCAUCAGUUCUGUGCACUGUUUCACUGCGCUGAGGACCACUGUGAGUCACAACUUUGAUACAGACUGGUUAUUGAGUGGAUUUUCAUCCAUUUGUUGAGCAACAACUACGAUGUUUUCAAACAAAGUUGGUGCUCCUAAAUCUUGUUGCUGCGUUGAUGAUCGCCUUUGAAGAAGAUGAAGUCCACCAGCAGAUGGGAGAAAGCAACACACAGGGAAUAGCAACAGAUGGUCUCUGUAUCUUCCCCUCCUACUCAUCCAAAGCUCUUAAGGCUGCAUUCCUAAUCAACCAAACGCAAGCAUCCCACACCCAUGCCGAGAAGAAUAACCUGAGCAUGCAAACUCUGCUUUGAAAUAAGUGUUAAAAAUACAUGACCUAUAUUGUCUGGUAACGAGGCAUUGAAAAUAUAAUGAUUAACUCAGUUACAGUUCUGUCCAUCUACCCUUAUGCUAUGUUACUCAAAUUCCUAUACUACUAACAAAAUUCUCAUUGAAUGCUAAUGAUGAUAAUCAUAGUACUUAACUCUGUGUAUUACUGUCAGUAAUUACACACACACAUCCUUAAGUUGGAAUCUUUAUUAAAAACACAUUUCAUUUUAUGGACUUCAGUUAUUAAAUGUCAAGUGAAAAUAAAUUAGGCUAUAGCAGACA